rnacentral:lncRNA from 1 species
GGGCUGUGAUGACGAGGAGUGGGCUAGUCUCCCGGGUCGGUCACCGCUGAACUCUCAGACAAUCAAGCUUUCGAUGAUCAUGUGAUGAGGUUUCCAGUCAGUUCCAGGUGAAGACACCACUGGCCAUCAAGAAGCUACCCUCUCCCCACCAGACAGAGCAGGAUGAGAGUUCUAUAAUCCUCAAUAGGAGGAAGCACUCAAUUGAACAAGUGCAGGAACCAGCUGGCUGCCUCAGCACUGACAGAAGCAAAUUCCAUUUGCUUGGACCCACUGCAUUCCAUCCCUUGUGGAAGAGAGCAUGUAAGCAAGACAGGACCUUCAGGCCUCUGAAAAAAAAAGGAUCAAAGAACUGAAACUCACCAGAUCACCUCACCAGAUGCUGGACCCCUCAUUCACCAUGUUUGCUUCCUUGCCUCUCCCUAGUUCUUAUUUUCUUACACAUUGUUACAUUUCUUCCCUGCUAUAUCAACCCCUAGUUCUAGUCAGUCAUGGAGAUGGAUUUGAGACUGAUCUCCCAUCCCCUCAGCUACACCACCUGAUUAAAGCCUUCUUCCUUGGCAAUAAUCAUUGUCUCAGUCAUUGGCUUUCUGUGCAGGGAGCAGCAGGACCUAGACUAAACCCCUGGUGUUUUGGUAACAAAAUAAGGCCAGGCACAGAAAGACAAACAUCACAUGUUCACACUUAUUUGUGGGAUCUAAAUACCAGAACAAUUGAACUCAUAGAGAUAGAGAGUAGAAGGAUUAUUACCAGAGGCUGGGAAGUGUGGUUGAAGGAGUUGGUGGGCAGUGGGGAUGUAGAAUGUGUCCAAAAAAAGGAAUAGAAUGAAGAAGUCCUAGUAUUUGAUAGCACAACAGGGUGACUAUAGUCAAUAAUCAUUUAACUGUACAUUUUAAAAUAACUUAAAAGGUGUAAUUGGGUUGUUUGUAACACAAAUGAUAAAUGCUUGAAGGAAUUGCUACUCCA